rnacentral:rRNA from 1 species
UACAGAGGGUGCAAGCGUUGUUCGGAAUUAUUGGGCGUAAAGCGCGUGUAGGCGGCUUUGCAAGUCGGGUGUGAAAGCCCUCGGCUCAACCGAGGAAGUGCGCCCGAAACUGCAGAGCUUGAGUACCGGAGAGGAUGGCGGAAUUCCCCAAGUAGAGGUGAAAUUCGUAGAUAUUGGGAAGAACACCGAUGGCGAAGGCAGCCAUCUGGACCGACACUGACGCUGAGGCGCGAAAGCGUGGGGAGCAAACAGG